rnacentral:rRNA from 1 species
UACGUAGGGUGCAAGCGUUAAUCGGAAUUACUGGGCGUAAAGCGCGUGUAGGCGGUCCGGUAAGUCCGCUGUGAAAGUCGGGGGCUCAACCCUCGAAUGCCGGUGGAUACUGUCGGGCUAGAGUGCGGAAGAGGCGAGUGGAAUUCCUGGUGUAGCGGUGAAAUGCGCAGAUAUCAGGAGGAACACCAACGGCGAAGGCAGCUCGCUAGGACGGUACUGACGCUGAGGCGCGAAAGCGUGGGGAGCGAACAGG